GUCCAAGUUGAUUCCCUGACUGGUGACCCUUUUAGGAAAGUAGCAACUUAGAAGAAAAUCUGGCACACCUGAAGUCUGUGGGGGAUCAAGAAAUGCUUUUUUGUUGCCUUGGCUGCCUGCAUGU